AACGAACGCUGGCGGCAGGCUUAAUACAUGCAAGUCGAGCGCCCCGCAAGGGGAGCGGCAGACGGGUGAGUAACGCGUGGGAAUCUACCCAUCUCUACGGAAUAACGCAUGGAAACGUGUGCUAAUACCGUAUACGUCCUUCGGGAGAAGGAUUUAUCGGAGAUGGAUGAGCCCGCGUUGGAUUAGCUAGUUGGUGGGGUAAAGGCCUACCAAGGCGACGAUCCAUAGCUGGUCUGAGAGGAUGAUCAGCCACACUGGGACUGAGACACGGCCCAGACUCCUACGGGAGGCAGCAGUGGGGAAUAUUGGACAAUGGGCGCAAGCUUGAUCCAGCCAUGCCGCGUGAGUGAUGAAGGCCCUAGGGUUGUAAAGCUCUUUCACCGGUGAAGAUAAUGACGGUAACCGGAGAAGAAGCCCCGGCUAACUUCGUGCCAGCAGCCGCCGUAAUAC
rnacentral:rRNA from 1 species